AUCAUAUUCUGCAUGUAAAAUAAUUUUCUGGCACACGCCCCCCGUGGAAAUCAGCUACGGUUGACGGGGUCAGCGUGGAUAAAUAAAGUUCUACUACUACUUCUUCUACUACUACUACUAAGCAAGUGGCGGGCAAUUUAUUAGGGGGGCUCGUGCCAAAGGCACGGAAAAUUUUAAAAUUUGAAUCCCGGAAAUGGCAUUUGCAGCAUUCUGAGACACGCAUAAUCAGAAAACCCAGAAUUCCGGGCGCCAGAGUAUGCUUGUUCGCAGGUAGUGCUGUGAAUAAUAUAGUUAACAACAAAAAUCAUGACCAAAGACAUCAAAAACGGAUCAAAAUUGUAUUUUAAAAUACUCAAAACGCAGAAAAAUUGGGAAUCGACUCACAUUACCUCAAUCCCAUUCCCAUUUUUGAGGACUUCAUUUCCCAUUCCCAGUGGCCAAAUCCCAGUCCCAGCAACCCAAAUCCCAUUUUCCCAGUCUAUAUAUAGACAAUCCCAGUUCCCAUUUUACCCCUUCAGGGCCCUCUCAUAAGCACGUUCAUAUAUCUACCAAAAUCCGGAACGCUCAUGAGCGCCCUCAUAUAUACCAAAAUCCAGUGUCCUCAUAAAAAUGCUUAUGAACAUAUUACUGGGUUUUGGUAUAUAGCCAAUUCAAAAAAGAUUGUCCUUUGCAAACCUUAAACUCUAAAUCUUAAAUCUGAGACUCUAAGCGAGCAAAGCUUAAUGGCAGCACAAGUUUCAAGCUUAGUAGUUGAAUAGGUAAAAACUGAUCCAGCUAUUUGUGAAUGAAUUGUUCUCGUAAGGAGAUAUUUACCAUGCCUCUAAAAAUGGCCCCAUAUAUGAUUUCUAAACUGAUUAAAUUAUGCUCCCAUCAUGCUUUGCACGCUUAGAGUUUAAGGUUGAAGGUUUAAUUUAGAGUUUAGGGUUUGCAAAGGCCAACCUUUUUUGACUGAUUUAAUAGCUGCAUAUAACUAUAAGAGCGUGCUCAUACAUACUAUAAAUAUUCAGCAUGAACUCCACCUUUGAAUUUACUAUACGAGCAAAUUCUUAAACACGUCCGAAUUUAUCAUUAUGAUUAAUUAAAUUCGCGGCACAUUUUGAAUUUAUCAUAAUCAGUAAAUUCGCAGCAUCUAACCCCUGACACUAACCCCAACACUAACCACUAACCCCUAACCACUAACCACUAACCCUAAUCUAACUUUUUUAAUUUUUUUGAAAAUCUAACUUUUUAAAUUUUUUUCUUUUUAAAACUUUUUUUCUUGAAAAUCAUAUCAUAAUGAUAAAUUCGAACGUGUUUAAGAAUUUACUCAUAUAGUAAAUUCAAAGGUGGAGCUCAUGUUGUAAAUCAUAUUAUACUUCAGGCUGCUUCACACAGUAUUUUAAUUUCCUCAAAACACAAUACAGUGCAUGUAAUACAACAAAAUUCUAAAAACAAUAAACAUUAUUUUCUAAAUUACUUUGAAUUUGUACUCGAGUAAAAGUAGAAGUAAUUAACAAUAAAACGACUUGAGUAAGAGUAAAAAGUACUGGAGGCAAAACGUACUUAAGUAAAAAGUACAAAGUAUCCUUAAAAAAUACUUGAAGUAAAAAGUAAAAGUAAAGUACUAUUGUCUGUAGCGUGUAAGGGGGGGGGACUUCUCCAAUGAAUUUACAUACAAAAGACACAAAACAGAACACGCAUUAUAUGCGUGCACCUAAUAUACAAUAUUUCACGACAUGGUCUACUUUUCAGACCCCAUUGAAAAUAUAAGAAAUCCAUUAAAUAAAUAAUGCUUAUAAGUAAGUCAC
rnacentral:lncRNA from 1 species